GGUAAAGCGGUGCUUCUUCUUCGGUMCGUCAUUYGUCMGGGUAUKCGCCGUGGMCGUUCCUUUCCGUCUGAAAGAGCUUUACAACCCGAAGGCCUUCUUCACUCACGCGGCAUGGCUGGAUCAGGCUUGCGCCCAUUGUCCAAAAUUCCCCACUGCUGCCUCCCGUAGGAGUCUGGACCGUGUCUCAGUUCCAGUGUGGCUGGUCGUCCUCUCAGACCAGCUACGGAUCGUCGCCUUGGUGAGCCUUUACCUCACCAACUAGCUAAUCCGAUAUCGGCCACUCCGAAAGCGAGAGGUCUUGCGAUCCCCCCCUUUCCCCCUCAGGGCAUAUGCGGUAUUAGCGUACCUUUCGGUACGUUAUCCCCCACUUCCGGAUAUGUUCCGAUAUAUUACUCACCCGUUCGCCACUCGCCACCAGGGUUGCCCCCGUGCUGCCGUUCGACUUGCAUGUGUAAAGCAUGCCGCCAGCGUUCAAUCUGAGCCAGGAUCAAACUCUAAUCGAAUUCCCGCGGCCGCCAUGGCGGCCGGGAGCAUGCGACGUCGGGCCCAAUUCGCCCUAUAGUGAGUCGUAUUACAAUUCAC
rnacentral:rRNA from 1 species